GUGAGAUCUUUGGAGGCAUGCUCUGAGUGCUUCGGUACUUCGGUUGCUAUUGCCAAAGUUGAUCAAACUUGAUGAUUUGGAGGAAGUAAAAGUCGUAACAAGGUUUCCGUAGGUGAACCUGCGGAAGGAUCAUUA
rnacentral:rRNA from 1 species